rnacentral:rRNA from 1 species
CCUACGGGGGGCUGCAGUAGGGAAUCUUCCGCAAUGGACGAAAGUCUGACGGAGCAACGCCGCGUGAGUGAUGAAGGCUUUCGGGUCGUAAAACUCUGUUGUUAGGGAAGAACAAGUGCUAGUUGAAUAAGCUGGCACCUUGACGGUACCUAACCAGAAAGCCACGGCUAACUACGUGCCAGCAGCCGCGGUAAUACGUAGGUGGCAAGCGUUAUCCGGAAUUAUUGGGCGUAAAGCGCGCGCAGGUGGUUUCUUAAGUCUGAUGUGAAAGCCCA